GAGUUGAGGAGGAGGAGGAGGAGGGAAGAGGGAUGCUGCAUUUUAGUGAUAGCACAGACUGAGACUGCAGGAGCAGACAGAGGGAUGGAGGGAAAUUAAGAGAGAGGAGAGCAGCAUUGUCAGAGAGAGCACGACAUGGAUUCCCAUACAGGUAAAAUAUCAAAUAGCAACAAACUAAUUAUGAAACAUACAUUGAAUAUUAUUGACUAAUUACAGCCUGGGAGAGGCCCGGCCCGUUUCUUCCAUGACAGCUGCAUCAAAGAUUUCCUCGAUGUCAUAGAAGAGCAGUCAACUUGCCAAAGCAUCCAUAAAUCCAUGCACCCAUGCACACGUCCAUCUUUCUCCCCAUCUAACCCUCCACCCAUCCAUGUGCUUCCAUCCACUCAUCCAUGCUCUUCUUUCCUUAAUUCGUCCAAAGCUCCUCCUCUCACUUCGCUCCAUAUCCAUCUUACAAUCAUCUUCCCAUUCCACCCACACAAAAACUCCCCCACUCCUCUUCUUCAUCCUUCCCCUGCCUCCUCCCUCUAUCUCCCCUGCUGCCUCUUCCACAGAUCCUGAGGGCAUCUCUUUUUAUUAUCUUCAUCUCCACAUAUCCUUCUUCUCCAAUCCGUCUCUCUGCUGGCAGCAUUUACCACUGCUUUAAGUUUUUAUUUCUUGUCCAGACUGUGACAAACAUGUACUUGAAAAACAAGCAGAAGGGGGUAAAGAGAGGAAACUUGCAUCUCUGACCACAGCAAGACACUUCUGGUGCCAGAAGAGGAGAGAAGAAACCACCUGUGAUCAAACUAUUAGCAGCAAGGGAGGGAAACAGACAUUUAAAGGCAGACUCCUGUUGGGGGGGAAAGUGUGUCUCUCUCUUUCAUUUUUCAUAUUCAUUCUCUCUGCUUGACUGUCUAUCCACAGGCUGUCCUUCCAUCCGUCUCAACAGGAUGCAGAGGUGUAACUGGGACGAAGAGAAAUGCUGAACGGAUCCUGACGUGUUGUUAUUAGAGAGAGGAGGAAAAAAACAGAGGAGCGUUUGCAAGCUUCUGGAAGGAAAAGGGAGGAGAGAGCAGGAUGAGUCAGAGCACAGCAGCGUGUAUUCUGCAUGCAAGAGGAGAGGCAGAGGGAGAUAGAGGAACAAUGAGAGAGAUAUAGGGGAGACAUCAGAGAGGACUUGACCAGAAUUGAGCAGCCAUUGGACAGAAGAAGAACAGUAUGAGACAGUAUAGCAGGCGGUGAGUGAGAUAUAGGCCAAGUGAAUCAGCUUGCCAGAGGGAGAGGAAGGCAAGAAAAGGGUGAGUUUAGAAAGUGGAGGGUUUGAUAUGACUGAAGAGGGUUGAAGGAAGGUUGAUUGAAGGUCUGCUGCAGGGUGGACAGAAAACAGCGAAGGACAGGCUUAAUGAAAAACUACGUGAGCAGCUCCAGGGGAAAAAGUCCUGAGUGACUGUGGCUUGCUCCGGGGAGGGGACAUUACUGAGAUCUUCAUAUGGCAGGACAAGCUUCAGGAAGGUUGACCAUCAAAAAUGAAGAUAGAGUAGAGAGGUUAAAAAAGAGCAGAUGAGAGCAUCAUUGAAGAGCAUCCAAGCAGAGAGCUAAAAAGGAACAGACCAGACAACAUGUCAUCCAACGCACAACGGCGGAGACGUGGAAACUUUAACUGUGACAGCAACACAGCAAGCGGUUCCUGUUAAAUAUUGAUGCUGACAGGCCACUCUGGGAAGAGCUCGCUCCUUGCACCGCAGAGGGGGACACAGAGGGAAGAACCACAGUUGCUCUUUUUUUUAUUCUAAGGGAUUUUUACACCAGAACAGACGAGCUGUUAAGUGUGGCAGAUGACAGCCGAGUGGGGUUCAAAUGUUACUACAAAUUUAAACAGGACAUAAAAGUAGCAGAGAGGUGGUUCCCUGGAGUCUGAGCAAGUUCUUGGAAGAGUGGAAUAUCUACAGAGACCCUCAUCUUGUGUGGGAACAGCAAGGCAAUGAACAUUUGAGAGAUCACUGGGACCACAUCAGGACCAGAACAAUUUCUUCUUUUCUACGAGAACAAGAACCAGCUCUGCCGAUGACUACAGAUUUAUAUUUUUGGAUUGACAUGCCCCACCUGCUUUGACAGGCACUCUGGGGGUACAUCACUGCCAGAUGAGAGAAGCCAAACACUGCUGAAGCAUUCACAAGUGUUUCCUAUUUUUAUUUUGUCCCAGACUGAUUGGAACUGUCUCUGAAAAUGGCCUCAUUACAGAGAUUUGGCCAGAGGAGGAUUGCUGUCGUGGCUUGAGGAAAUAUAAGUGAGGAAAUGCUUUGAUGUGCAUCAACACGCAGGAUCCUUUAAUUGGAAGCUGGACUUCGUUUUUGUCUCCGUGACUACAUAAGGACGAUUCUCCAGCUUAACUGAAUCAAAAUUAAGAUAGAGACUUCCUUGUCCGACCUGAAUCCCCAAUUCCUCAAAACAUCAUGACAGUAACGUAGGAAGACACAACGCCACCGUCUCCAUUCAGCUGCGGAUAGACCAGCUGCAUGUUUAUGUGUGGCUGCGCGGGGGUUUAAGGACUGUCGAGGAGCUCAGCUGUGUUUGUGCGUAUGUUUGUGUGAGUGUAGAGGUGUGUGUGUGUGUGUGUGUGUGAGCCCAGCUCUGUCUGUCUGAGCGCAUUUUCAAAGCAUCGCCCGGAGCUGUGUGAGCGUGUGUUUGUGUGUGUGUGUCGCCUGGAUUCUCCCCACCAGCGACAGAGCUGGACCUGAACAGCAGUGGUGAGAGGGGGGACAGGGAGGGGGAGGAGGAGGAGAAGAAGAGGGAGGUGAAAGAAACCAGCAGGACGGAGGAGACGCAAAAACUGACAACAUGCUCGGAUAAAGAGAAGAAAGAAGGGAGUUUUUGGCUGCCCCCCUGGUGCAAUGUCUGGCGUCGCGCCCUGUGGUGGUGGGGUUCUGUGAUGGUAACCAUGGUCCCCGGCAGCCGCUAUGUCUGCAGCGCUCAUGCAAGAGAGGAGGACGCCACGAACGACCGCGAAGAGCGAAUUUUAGCCGUGCUGGGCAUCAUCGGAACCAUCCUCAAUCUCCUGGUGGUCAUAUUUGUCUACAUCUACACCUCCGUUACCUGAGGGUUUCUGCGAGAGCUCGAACGAGAGACGUUUGGCACCGUUUCCAGCUUUUCUCCACACUGCUACCCUCCUCUUUAAGUAUUUAUAUACUUAAAGAGGGUGUGAUUAUUCAGAGUGAGCAGUAAGAUGAGAGGGUCAUUGGCAGUGUGUUCAGCCAUAUUUAACUACACCUACAACUAUCACUGUUGAUCCCUUAAGACACCUCUGCUCUGUGAGCUAAAGACUGCUGCCAAUCUCAGAGAAGGAGAAGCACUUCCCCCCAAUUUUUAAACUGCUUCUUCCCAUUUUCAAAGACAAUUUCACACGUCCUCAUGUCAAAUGACAGUUGACAGCGUGUCCAGUCUGGUAAUGGUCACAUGUCUCUGUGUUCAUAAUGACUGGGGGCAAGUGUGUUUGAUCUGAUGGCGGUCACAUUUGACUGUGUUGCAUUUUCCACUUUGUCACAUGACAUGUAAAAGUGUGUCAAGCUCCUUUGUGAGAUUUAAGUACUAUCACUGCCAGUUUAAUAUACCUUCGAGUUAACUUGAUAAGGAGAGAUGUGGUACGCUGCUAAAGCUAUUAAAAGGGACCAAAAUUGCCAAAUGAAUUAUUUUUAACAGAGGAAGCCAUAGGCCGUCUGAGCACCCUUAAAUCUACUUGAAUUUAUACAGAUAAUCAUUCGCACUCGUUGAUAAAUACCCGUUUCUGUAGUUAGUAGAGUGACUGUAAAAGUUUUACAUGGACCUAAUGUGUCCACACCUGAGCACACCGGAGGAGAGAUUCCUGGCCGUUCUGGGAGUCAUCGGUAUCAUACUCAACCUCCUGUUGCUCAUCUUCGUCUAUAUAUACACUGCCGUCUGAACACAGUAUCAGCUAUGAGAUAAUCUUUUUGCCACACCUAACAGCACCUGUAACCUUAUAGGGUAUGUUGUGCAACCACACUUGUAUAUAUUGCACCUAUAAGCACACGCUGGUUCACAGCCGAUUUGGGGAUUAUAUGAUAUUCUAGGCAGGUUUCUAGACAGUGAUACUCUAAUAAUAAAUUAGAUUUAUUCACAGACUAAUUUAUAAUAGAAAUACACGUUAAGAAUUUACCUUUUUAUAUAAAUGUGUGGUGUUUUUGUAGAUGUAGUACUCUUUCACAUACAGUAUGUGCAUGAUGAGAUGUUUACUUAAUAUAAUCUUUAUCACACUUUGACCAAAA